rnacentral:lncRNA from 1 species
AUUCACUUUUAAGUAGUUAAGGUGUGUAAUAGGUCACCAAGAUAGUUUAAGCGUGUGACUUUUCGAGACAAGUUCAAGGUGGAAUCUAUGUCUUUUCCCUUUGUUUAGUCAAUAUUAAUGCCUGCUUUCUCACAUGAAUUAUGACUGAAAGUUUGAGUUUAUUCUUAGUUUUGCUCGGAAUUUAUAAGCUUCCAUUGUUUAUAUGUUCAUAUGAACCUGUGAUAAGUUGUAAAGGUUGGGCUUAAUGAAGUCAUCUUGGUUGAGUCUGUUUGCUUAAGAAUCAGGUCGACAAGACUUCUCCUUCAACACAUGCUAUAUAUGUAUACACAUGCGUUAAUAAGAGUCUAAGUUUUUCUUUUUCAGCAUUUGGCUUUUUGUUUGAUUAAAACGCAUGGUAGAUUUUGUAUAACUUUCCUGAAAGCUUUCAAAUGCUCCAUUUUUUAUGUAUGAGUUUGUUUCUAAAAAAUGGCUCUGUCCCUGUUGAAUCAAGGAGGAUACCAUCGACUGAGAGAUAUAAGAAUGAAUUGUUGUCUGCCUACAUAUUUGAGAUCUUAUCUAUUGGGAUUUUCUUUACUUUGUUGGCUUCAUUUCCAAUUUCAGUCUCUUCUCUAUGAGUAAGUAUGUAAGUUGGCAUUUCUGUUUUAUGUAUUUCGAGAUUGUCCAAUGAACCAAAUGAUUGGGGAUAUAUAGCUAAUUUAUGUUCUUGAUCACUAAGGUAAGGGCAAGAUUCAGUUUUCUUUCUUAAGUCGUUAUUGAUAUGUCCAUUUCUUUGUGCUAACAAUUUCGAGCUUGCUGUGUAUUUGAAAUAUGGGUGUCCUGUUUGAGUAGUAUGUUUGCUUCAGUUGGUUCUCUUAUUACUCAAAGAAGUAAAAUAAAAUUGAGAUGUCUGUAAGCUGUUGGAAUGUGCUAUCACUCUUCAUCUCGUUUGUUCUUUUUCUUAGUUUAUGUGCGAUCAAAGCUGAAAGCUUGGGCGUUUUUUCUCAGUUUUCCCUUCCUGUUUGAUUUUUUUUUCUAGUCUUAAUGUACAAGUUUGGUUUCAAGUUAUCAUUUUAUCAUAGAACCUCUGAUUGUAUGUGUCCUAGUUGGAGCUUUUUGAGUUUAGUUUACACAAUAUGAUAUGAAUUCGGCCUUAAGUAUGGUGUUCAGAUUAGUGUAUCGUUUCUCUUUAUCUAAUGUUUCUUAGCAAUUCAGUAGCUUUCUCUGAUUCUAUCUUCUUUGGAAAGUAUUUUCAUUAAUCUUCUUUAGUUAGCUUCUUUCCUGCCAUGUAUGUUAUCUCUAUUUGUGUGUCAUAAAAUGUUUCCUUUGAGUUCUGCAUUAGUCAUUUCUUUUUGCUUAAAUGGAGAUUGCUCAAGUUCUAUCACGAGUUUUUAACUAAUAUGUAGACAUUCUGGAUAUUAGCCUUCUUGAUAGCAAAAUGUAUUGUUAUUUAGAUAUCUGCUUAUUCCUUUUCUCUUACUUUGUUUCGCAUGAACUCUCUUCAAAUGAGUCCUUGGACUCCCCACCUCAAGUUCAUGUGUCAACCUCCAUCAAGUUCGAAAAGGGAAGCUAAUAUUAUUGGGUUAAAACUCAAAUUAGUGGCAGCAGCUAAGUAGCGGAGUAAUAGCAGUCCCAAAAGGCUGGAAAUUAAUUUGAUCAUUGCAGCAGCAGUAGCCCAAAGGGUUAAAAAGAAGAAUUUUUUCGGACUCUUAAGUCAGAUAAUAACUCAGCAGCAGCAGGACUGAUUGCUUUUGGACCAAAAGUCCAGAUUCUUUCAAAUUUUAUAUGAUAUGAUAUGAUGAUUCAAAAGAUAAAAGGGGUAAUGUUUCCAGAUUCUUUAUUUUAACAAAGGACAAAUUACUUAACUACACUCCUUUACUUACCUUAAUAUCCAUUUAUUCCUACUUAUUUCAAAAAUUUCAAAAAUCCCUUAUUUACCUAUGUAUCUCGUGCACAACGCUAUGUAUCCCGCUAUGUGGAAAUGUAUCAAACCUAAUGUAUCAUGUGCACAACGCUAUGUAUCCCGCUAUGUGGAAUGUAUCAAACCUAAUGUAUCAUGUGCACAACGCUAUGUAUCCCGCUAUGUGGAAAUGUAUCAAACCUAAUGUAUCCCGUGCACAACAGUGGAAUGUAUCAAACGGUAUGUAUCCCGUGCACAACGCUAUGUAUCCCGCUAUGUGGAAUGUAUCAAACCUAAUGUAUCAUGUGCACAACGCUAUGUAUCCCGCAAACAUC